CUGGAGUCGACCAGAAGAAAGGAAGAACAAGGAAAACCCUAGUUUUCAUAAAUCAUCAAGAUUAGGAGAAUCAAAGCCAAAACAUAUGCAUGAACCCUAAUCUCUAACCAUCUAAGCUUGUACUUCAAAGUGGGAUCAUGUCAAGAUGGAUGGAUGCAUGGAAGGCUAAAAGGGUAAAAAGGAAGCAAUAAAACGGAUACGAAUGUGGGCGUCUAAGGUAUGCUAAUGUUGACCUUACGAAGAUUUGACGCUGGAAUGCAAGAUUUUACUUAGGAAGUUAAUUCAAGGAUUAGUUGAAGGGUUUUAACAUCAGUAUGAAGUCUAAGAGGUUGAAGAUCGAGUCAAUGAGCGCGGAUUGUACGGGAGGAGUAGUCAAAUAGCUUGUAUUUGUAUGAUGUUUUCGAUACGUCAAUUAAUAACGAAUGAUGUCCCUCUUUUAUAAGAGUCAUUUUAAAUGAUGUUCAAGAAUGUUAGAGCAUUGUUGUGAAAGAAAUUUUAUGGUUCGUA